rnacentral:rRNA from 1 species
UACGUAGGGGGCAAGCGUUGUCCGGAAUCAUUGGGCGUAAAGCGCGUGUAGGCGGCCCGGUAAGUCCGCUGUGAAAGUCCAGGGCUCAACCCUGGAAUGCCGGUGGAUACUGUCGGGCUCGAGUCCGGAAGAGGCGAGUGGAAUUCCUGGUGUAGCGGUGAAAUGCGCAGGAUAUCAGGAGGAACACCGAUGGCGAAGGCAGCUCGCUGGGACGGUACUGACGCUGAGACGCGAAAGCGUGGGGAGCAAACAGGAUUGAGAA